rnacentral:rRNA from 1 species
CAGCCGCCGCGGGAAAACGUAGGGUGCAAGCGUUAAUCGGAAUUACUGGGCGUAAAGCGUGCGCAGGCGGUUAUAUAAGACAGAUGUGAAAUCCCCGGGCUCAACCUGGGAACUGCAUUUGUGACUGUAUAGCUAGAGUACGGCAGAGGGGGAUGGAAUUCCGCGUGUAGCAGUGAAAUGCGUAGAUAUGCGGAGGAACACCGAUGGCGAAGGCAAUCCCCUGGGCCUGUACUGACGCUCAUGCACGAAAGCGUGGGGAGCAAACAGGAUUAGAUACCCCUGUAGUCCCUGUCUCUUAUAC